GGAUGAACGCUGGCGGCGUGCCUAAUCCAUGCAAGUCGAGCGAACAGACGAGGAGCUUGCUCCUUCGACGUUAGCGGCGGACGGGUGAGUAACACGUAGGUAACCUACCUAUAAGACUGGGAUAACUUCGGGAAACCGGAGCUAAUACCGGAUAAUAUUUCGAACCGCAUGGUUCGAUAGUGAAAGAUGGCUUUGCUAUCACUUAUAGAUGGACCUGCGCCGUAUUAGCUAGUUGGUAAGGUAACGGCUUACCAAGGCAACGAUACGUAGCCGACCUGAGAGGGUGAUCGGCCACACUGGAACUGAGACACGGUCCAGACUCCUACGGGAGGCAGCAGUAGGGAAUCUUCCGCAAUGGGCGAAAGCCUGACGGAGCAACGCCGCGUGAGUGAUGAAGGUCUUCGGAUCGUAAAACUCUGUUAUUAGGGAAGAACAAACGUGUAAGUAACUGUGCACGUCUUGACGGUACCUAAUCAGAAAGCCACGGCUAACUACGUG
rnacentral:rRNA from 1 species